rnacentral:rRNA from 1 species
GAUGAACGCUAGCGGCAGGCUUAAUACAUGCAAUUCGAGGGACAGCACAGGUAGGAAUACUGGGGGGUAAGCGGCAAAAGGGUGGGGAACACGUACACACCGUUCUUUUAAGUGGGGGAUAGCCCAGAGAGAUUGGGAGUAAUACCUCGUAAUAUAGUUGGAUGGCAUCAUAUUAUUAUUAUAGCUACGGCGCUGCAUGGUGGGUGUGCGGCUGAUUAGAUGGUUGGCGGGGUAACGGCCCGCCAAGUCUAAGAUCAGUAGCUGAUGUGAGAGCAUGAUCAGCCAGACGUGCACUGAGACACGGGCCCGACUCCUACGGGAGGCAGCAGUAAGGAAUAUUGGUCAAUGGACGAAGGUCUGAACCAGCCAUGCCGCGUGAAGGAUUAAGGUCCUAUGGAUUGUAAACUUCUUUUAGUUGGGACGAAAAAGGGCCUUUCUAGGUCAACUGACGGUACCAGAUGAAUAAGCACCGGCUAACUCCGUGCCAGCCGCCGCAGUAAUAC